rnacentral:hammerhead_ribozyme from 1 species
AUCCAGCUGACGAGCCUCAAAUAAAACGAAACGCUCGUCCUGUAU